UUGGAAUGAGGAGAGACAUGGCACUAGAGGGAAUCUGGCUUAUUGAAGUUUUGAUGCAAGAUUUUGCCGCCAUUGAUACAACAUAGUGGUAUGUAAUGGAGGUUGCUCCUAAUUUUAUCUCUUAGCGGCUGGAGGACUCAGCUUAGUGGCCCAAGACCAUUUUUGAUGUUGGCUCUGGCAUCGGUGGCAGUUCAAGUUAUAUGGCAAAGGAAUUUGGGGCAAAGUGCAUAGGCAUCACUUUGAGUCUUGUUCAGACUGCUAGAGCAAUUUACGCUUCCUGCUACUCAAGGAUAUGCUGAUGAGAUCUGUGUCUUUUUUUUUUUUUUUAAUUCAUAUUUAUGCUGCUGGCUGCGUAGAAUUGAUAUAAAAAAAAUUAAAGAAACCAAGGUGUUUUCCCCCUAAUUCAUAUUCAAUGUAUCUCCGCCUUUUUAACUUCAUAUUUUUACAAUAGCACGUUCCUUUCAAGUUACAGGUGCUUUAAAGCAACUGUUCCUCAACGGGUAGUUUGAUCUGGCAUGGGCCAUGAAGAAUGAAGAACAGACACCUGACAAAACAAAUUGUGGACUGAUUGUAUUAAAUUCUUUAGUUCAAUCCAACACUAGCAUGGUUCUUUAACUCAAAAUCCCUUCGUUAAAUUCGAAGAGGAAGACCAAACGUGCAGAGAUUGAGGUUAGUCGAUUGCACAAAGGGCGGCAUGAGAAGUCUUGAUGAUAUCAAUGCAGAGUAGUGCUAGGGCCUGAUAAUUAUGCAAAGCCAAACUAAACAUCAUGUAAACAAUCCAACAAUGAAGAUCUUGUGUUGUGACUUGAUCAGUAACUAGGAAAAUGCUUCUAUUGCCUACUCGAUUUUUUCUAAUCUAGGAAGUGAUAUAGUUAUUUCUUUUUCUGAAUUUUAGCUAUUUUCAGUCUGCUGAUUGUUGCAUGUUCUCAUGUCUUUGUACUUUCAGAUUUGGAGAAAGUAAUUUAGCAAUUUCAAUGC